UACGGAGGGGGCUAGCGUUGUUCGGAAUUACUGGGCGUAAAGCGCGCGUAGGCGGACCUGCAAGUCGGGGGUGAAAGCCCGAGGCUCAACCUCGGAACUGCCUUCGAUACUGCGGGUCUCGAGUCCGGGAGAGGUGAGUGGAAUUCUUAGUGUAGAGGUGAAAUUCGUAGAUAUUAGGAAGAACACCAGUGGCGAAGGCGGCUCACUGGCCCGGUACUGACGCUGAGGCGCGAAAGCGUGGGGAGCAAACAGG
rnacentral:rRNA from 1 species